rnacentral:rRNA from 1 species
AUGGCGCUCAUGCUGCGGCGACCCGGAGAUCCUCCUCACGACAUGGUCAAUGCCCGAUAUGACCAAUCAAAGAUCGUUUUGCACUGGUUGCUCCUUGGAAAGAAUCUAGAUGAUGGACUCUUGAUUAUGGACUAUGACACUGACACAUUGCACAUGGCAGCGGUUGUUCCAAAGUUUCAGUAUUUUAAGUUGUUUGUGGACCACAAAGAUAUGACAUUUGACAAUGUAAUUGAAGGCAACAACAAUGAAGGGAGUAACAGUGUUCCACCAAUGGCCCAAAGUGUUGGAUAUGAGCUGAGAAGAAGCAGAAGAAAACUUGUGGUAGAAGAAGAAACCUCCAAUGAAAAUGACUGUGACAGUGACGACGGUGAAUGGGAUUCAGACUGGGUUGACUCUGGCAAUGAAGUAGAAAAAAGAAGAGAUCUAAAUGGCAGAAGGACAAUAACUAUGAUUCGGAUGAGUUGCAAGCGCUGCAAGAUUCAAAGCUUGAAGAUAGUGAUUCAGCAAAAUUGUCCCUGGUUCCUGUUUGCUGCACCUGAUAGUAGGACCAAAGCAUGGGUUGUGAAGACAUAUGUGGGACAAUAUACAUGUGAAAGAGAAUGGGCACUGAAGCAAUUCACAACAAGAUAUCUAGCUGGCAAGUAUUUGGAGACAUUUAGAGCAGAUGAGAAGAUGUCAUUAAAGAACUUUGUCAGGCUUGUUCAGUUUGAUUACAAUAUGCUUCCUACUAGAAGCAAGAUAGCAAGAGCAAGAAGGAUUGCACUAAAGCAAAUUAUGGAGAUGAACUAG